rnacentral:misc_RNA from 1 species
AGUAGGUGAAUAGUUGAUUUCUAGUCUUUGACUAGUUCGUUCUUUAAAAAUUUGGGUAUGUGAUAGAAAGAUAGACUGAACGUUACUUUCACUGGUAACGGAUCAGGCUAAGGUUUACUCGUCGGUCUCUUAACUGAGAA